rnacentral:rRNA from 1 species
UACGUAGGGGGCAAGCGUUGUCCGGAUUUAUUGGGCGUAAAGAGCUCGUAGGUGGUUUGGUAAGUCGGAUGUGAAAUCUCCAGGCUCAACCUGGAGGGGUCAUUCGAUACUGCCAUGACUAGAGGUCGGUAGGGGAGUGUGGGAAUUCCUGGAUGGAGCGGUGAAUGACGCAGAUAUCAGGAGGAACACCCGUAGCGAAGGCGGCACUCUGGGCCGAUUCUGACACUGAGGAGCGAAAGCGUGGGGAGCGAACAGG